rnacentral:misc_RNA from 1 species
AACGCAUAUUGCGCCUGCGGCUCCGGCCAAUGGCAUGUCUGCCUCAGCGUCGGGCUAUCCUCAUGAUCUUCUCAACAGGCUCAUUCUGUGAUGCUUGAAGAGCAGUCAUGGUCCUGGUCGUUUCACUCAUGCAUGAGCGCGGGUGCAUCGACUGAAGAAUACUGACACUCAAUCUGUUCGAAACCCUAUUGGGUUCGACAACUAGUCAGAGUAUGGUAGUUUACUGCCAUUCUUGAUUUAGUUGUUGCCUUCUCUUGCUUUUAUCUAGCAAGAAGGAAGAAUAGCUUGACUGUCUAACUCGGGAAAUGAUGCCCAUAAGCAUCAUCCUUAUCUCGACCUGAGCUCAGGCAAGAACACCCGCUGAACUUAA